rnacentral:rRNA from 1 species
UAUUGGACAAUGGGCGCAAGCCUGAUCCAGCCAUGCCGCGUGAGUGAUGAAGGCCUUAGGGUUGUAAAGCUCUUUUAGCAGGAACGAUAAUGACGGUACCUGCAGAAAAAGCCCCGGCCAACUUCGUGCCAGCAGCCGCGGUAAUACGAAGGGGGCUAGCGUUGCUCGGAAUCACUGGGCGUAAAGCGCACGUAGGUGGGUCGUUAAGUCGGGGGUGAAAUCCCAGAGCUCAACUCUGGAACUGCCUUCGAUACUGGCGACCUUCGAGUCCGGGAGAGGUGAGUGGAACUGCGAGUGUAGAGGUGAAAUUCGUAGAUAUUCGCAAGAACACCAGUGGCGAAGGCGGCUCACUGGCCCGGUACUGACACUGAGGUGCGAAAGCGUGGGGAGCAAACAGG